GACGAACGCUGGCGGCGUGCUUAACACAUGCAAGUCGAGCGGUAAGGCCCUUUCGGGGGUACACGAGCGGCGAACGGGUGAGUAACACGUGGGUGACCUGCCCUUAGCUCUGGGAUAAGCCUGGGAAACUGGGUCUAAUACCGGAUAUGACUCCAUGACGCAUGUUGUGGGGUGGAAAGCCUUGUGCGGCUAGGGAUGGGCCCGCGGCCUAUCAGCUUGUUGGUGGGGUGAUGGCCACCGAGGCGACGACGGGUAGCCGGCCUGAGAGGGCGACCGGCCACACUGGGACUGAGACACGGCCCAGACUCCUACGGGAGGCAGCAGUGGGGAAUCUUGCGCAAUGGGCGAAAGCCUGACGCAGCGACGCCGCGUAGGGGAUGACGGCCU
rnacentral:rRNA from 1 species